rnacentral:tRNA from 2 species
GGUGAGGUGGCCGAGAGGCUGAAGGCGGCGGUUUGCUAAACCGUUAUACGGCCUAAAAGCUGUAUCCAGGGUUCGAAUCCCUGCCUCACCGCCA